AUGGGGAAGAAAAAGUCGAGGGCCAAGCCUGUUGCUAAGAAGCGAAUGGACAAGCUUGACACUGCAUUAUGUUGCCCCUUCUGCAACCACGGAGGCAGCGUCGAAUGAGACAUUGACAUGAAGAACAUGACUGGGGAGGCUCUCUGCAGCGUUUGCCAAGAGAGUUAUAGCACAACCAUCACAGCUUUGACUGAACCCAUAGACGUCUACAGUUAAUGGAUAGACGAAUGUGAGCGGGUCAACACCAUUAUUGCUGAUGAUCAAUGA
rnacentral:lncRNA from 1 species